UACGUAGGGGGCAAGCGUUGUCCGGAUUUAUUGGGCGUAAAGAGCGUGUAGGCGGCCAGGUAGGUCCGUUGUGAAAACUCGAGGCUCAACCUCGAGACGCCGAUGGAAACCAUCUGACUAGAGUCCGGAAGAGGAGAGUGGAAUUCCUGGUGUAGCGGUGAAAUGCGCAGAUAUCAGGAAGAACACCCGUGGCUAAGGCGGCUCUCUAGUACGGUACUGACGCUGAGGAGCGAAAGCGUGGGGAGCGAACAGG
rnacentral:rRNA from 1 species